AGCAGCCGCGGUAAUUCCAGCUCCAAUAGCGUAUAUUAAAGUUGCUGCAGUUAAAAAGCUCGUAGUUGAAUUUCGGGACUAAUAUGUUGGUCGUGCCUCGGUACGUACUGAUAUUUUUGGUUUCUCCCUUCUGACGAACCUUGAUGUCAUUAAUUUGGUGUCUUGGGAAAUCAGGACUGUUACUUUGAAAAAAUUAGAGUGUUUAAAGCAGGCUCACGCUUGAAUACAUUAGCAUGGAAUAAUGAAAUAGGACGUUUGAUUCUAUUUUGUUGGUUUCUAGGAUCGACGUAAUGAUUAAUAGGGAUAGUUGGGGGCAUUAGUAUUCAAUUGUCAGAGGUGAAAUUCUUGGAUUUAUUGAAGACUAACUACUGCGAAAGCAUUUGCCAAGGAUGUUUUCAUUAAUCAAGAACGAAAGUUAGGGGAUCGAAGACGAUCAGAUACCGUCGAAGUCUUAACCAUAAACUAUGCCCACUAGGGAUCGGAUGAUGUCAAUUUUUUAAUGACUCA
rnacentral:rRNA from 1 species